rnacentral:rRNA from 1 species
CGAACCGGAUUAGAUACCCGGUUAGUCCUGGCCGUAAACGAUGCAUACUAGGCAAUGGUGCGGCCAUGAGCCGCAUCAGUACCGUAGGGAAACCGUUAAGUGUGCCGCCUGGGAAGUACGGUCGCAAGGCUAAAACUUAAAGGAAUUGGCGGGGGAGCACCACAAGGGGUGAAGCCUGCGGUUCAAUUGGACUCAACGCCGGGAAACUUACCAGGGGAGACAGCAGAAUGACAGUCAGGUUGACGACCUUACUCGACGAGCUGAGAGGAGGUGCAUGGCCGUCGCCAGUUCGUGCUGUGAGGUAUCCUGUUAAGUCAGGCAACGAACGAGAUCCGCGCCUUUAUUUGCCAUCAAGAAGUCACGACUUCGUUGGGAACACUAAAGGGACCGCCGUCGAUAAGACGGAGGAAGGAGCGGGCAAAGGCAGGUCAGUAUGCCCCGAAACCCCUGGGCUACACGCCGGCUGUAAUGGUGCGAACAAUGGGCUGUAACUCCGAAAGGAGAAACCAAUCCCGAAAUCGCAUCUCAGUGGGGAUUGUCGACUGUAACUCGUUGACAUGAACGUGGAAUCCCUAGUAAUCGCGUGUCACCAUCGCGCGGUGAAUACGUCUCUGCU